rnacentral:rRNA from 1 species
GGACGAACGCUGGCGGCGUGCUUACCACAUGCAAGUCGAACGGAAAGGCCUCUUUCGGGGGGUACUCGAGUGGCGAACGGGUGAGUAACACGUGAGUAACCUGCCCUUGACUUUGGGAUAACUUCAGGAAACUGGGGCUAAUACCGGAUAGGAGCUCCUGCUGCAUGGUGGGGGUUGGAAAGUUUCGGCGGUUGGGGAUGGACUCGCGGCUUAUCAGCUUGUUGGUGGGGUAGUGGCUUACCAAGGCUUUGACGGGUAGCCGGCCUGAGAGGGUGACCGGCCACAUUGGGACUGAGAUACGGCCCAGACUCCUACGGGAGGCAGCAGUGGGGAAUAUUGCACAAUGGGUGGAAGCCUGAUGCAGCAACGCCGUGUGCGGGAUGACGGCCUUCGGGUUGGAAACCGCUUUCGCUCAUGACGAAGCUUUGUGUGACGGUAGUGGGUAAAGAAGCACCGGCUAACUACGUG